rnacentral:rRNA from 1 species
CAGCAGCCGCGGGAAUACGAAGGGUGCAAGCGUUAAUCGGAAUUACUGGGCGUAAAGCGUGCGUAGGCGGUUUGUUAAGUCUGCUGUGAAAUCCCCGGGCUCAACCUGGGAAUGGCAGUGGAUACUGGCAAGCUAGAGUGUGUCAGAGGAUGGUGGAAUUCCCGGCGUAGCGGUGAAAUGCGUAGAGAUCGGGAGGAACAUCAGUGGCGAAGGCGGCCAUCUGGGACAACACUGACGCUGAGGCACGAAAGCGUGGGGAGCAAACAGGAUUAGAUACCCGCGUAGUCCCUGUCUCUUAUAC